UACGUCCACACCUUUUAGGUGUGGAUCAGUUGACUGUCAUACUUCCAAGAAAAGCUCGAACUACUGUAAAGCAUCACGUACCUGUACCGUAAACCGACACAGGUGGGUUGGUAGAGUAUACCAAGGGGCGCGAGAUAACUCUCUCUAAGGAACUCGGCAAAAUGACCCCGUAACUUCGGGAGAAGGGGUGCCAAGUAACUCAAAUUGCUUGGUCGCAGUGACCAGGCCCUGGCGACUGUUUAUCAAAAACACAGGUCUCCGCAAAGUCGUAAGACAACAUAUGGGGGCUGACGCCUGCCCAGUGCCGGAAGGUUAAAGAAGUUGGUUAUUCACUCGUGGAGAAGCUGACGACUGAAGCCCCGGUGAACGGCGGCCGUAACGAUAACGGUCCUAAGGUAGCGAAAUUCCUUGUCGGGUAAGUUCCGACCCGCACGAAAGGCGUAACGAUCAGGGCACUGUCUCGGAGAGAGACUCGGUGAAAUAGACAUGUCUGUGAAGAUGCGGACUACCUGCACCUGGACAGAAAGACCCUAUGAAGCUUGACUGUAGCCUGGAAUUGGGUUCGGGCUCUUCUUGCGCAGCCUAGGUGGGAGGCGUUGAAGGCUUUCUUUUGGGGAAGCUGGAGCCAUCAGUGAGAGACCACUCUGGAGGAGCUAGAAUUCUAAUGGCGUUCCUUGAAGCAGGACGCUUGACAGUUUCAGGUGGGCAGUUUGACUGGGGCGGUCACCUCCUAAAAGGUAACGGAGGUGUGCAAAGGUUCCCUCAGGCUGGACGGAAAUCAGCCGUAGAGUGUAAAGGCAGAAGGGAGCUUGACUGCAAGACCUACAAGUCGAGCAGGGGCGAAAGCCGGCCUUAGUGAUCCGACGGUUCCAUGUGGAAGGGCCGUCGCUCAACGGAUAAAAGUUACUCUAGGAUAACAGGCUGAUCUUCCCCAAGAGUUCACAUCGACGGGAAGGUUUGGCACCUCGAUGUCGGCUCAUCGCAACCUGGGGCGGUAGUACGUCCCAAGGGUUGGGCUGUUCGCCCAUGAAAGCGGUACGUGAGCUGGGUUCAGAACGUCGUGAGACAGUUCGGUCCAUAUCCGGUGUAGGCGUUAGAGCAUUGAGAGGAGUCUUCCAUAGUACGAGAGGACCUGGAAGAACACACCUCUGGUAUACCAGUUAUCAUGCCAAUGGUAGACGCUGGGUAGCCAUGUGUGGAGUGGAUAACCGCUGAAAGCAUCUAAGUGGGAAGCCCACCUCAAGAUGAGUGCUCUCCAUUAGGUCACAGGAAGGCAACCUGUUUGAUAGGCAGAAGGUGUAAGGCUAGUAAUAGUUUCAGCUGAUCUGUACUAAUAGACCGAUUGAUUUU
rnacentral:rRNA from 1 species